rnacentral:rRNA from 1 species
CAGCAGCCGCGGUAAUACGUAGGGUGCGAGCGUUAAUCGGAAUUACUGGGCGUAAAGCCUGCGCAGGCGGUUAUAUAAGACAGAUGUGAAAUCCCCGGGCUCAACCUGGGACCUGCAUUUGUGACUGUAUAGCUAGAGUACGGUAGAGGGGGAUGGAAUUCCGCGUGUAGCAGUGAAAUGCGUAGAUAUGCGGAGGAACACCGAUGGCGAAGGCAAUCCCCUGGACCUGUACUGACGCUCAUGCACGAAAGCGUGGGGAGCAAACAGGAUUAGAUACCCGCGUAGUCCCUGUCUCUUAUAC